AAACUGGACUACUAUUCUCUUAUCUCUAGCUAGGCCCGAACUCCAUUUUUAUUAGGUUUAAGGCUUACCUUCGUUACCAAAGCUGCUCCGUUUAAUCGCCGUGACUCUUGGGAUAUCGCAACCUCCGACUAGCGCCUCUGUAACGUAAUCAGUUUAAGGCUAGAAACUGCAUUUAUCCAAGCAUUGACGUUUUUACCACUAUUCCCACUCUUUCGCAUAAACUCGGCCUCAUCAUGCACCGCGGAACCGUUCGAAGCUCUGGCUAUAUAUGUGUUCCCCACCUCCCCCCGCCUUACACAGCCUCUCACUGCAAAGAAAUCCCAAAGGUCAAUCACUGUUAAGAAACAACUCCACCAAUGGCGAAUUGCUCCUCGUGGAUGAGAAGUGAAUGCUUAUCCAACGAACUGUAAACUCCAACCGCCUCCACACUUUACGAGACCAUCUCAGUGAGGGUUCUGUUUACAUCUCAAGUGGCUUUGACUUCACCCGGAGCAAUAACGAUUUUCGUCUGUCUGAUGCCCAUGUCUCCAUUCGCUUCAAUGAUGGUUCUAUCAGGUUUACUUUUUAGUGGAUUGUCUUCCUAUGAUGAGAUAUGGAACUUUCAGUCAAUGAUGUUAAAUUUACUCCUGAAGAGUUGGCUGAGCUGAUCGCUGCAAUGAAUGUAACAUUAGCGGCAAGAGUGGUAAACAUGUCAGUAUGUACAUAGUUUUCGAUUUGGAUCAAUGCUAUUUAUUCAAUCUUUGCAGAUAUUUUUUGAGCUCUUGGCCAAAGGGGAAACUGUCCAAGGGAUGAUAAAAGCAAAAGACUUGGGUUAGGCAAGUACAAAGAAGAAACAUAUUUUAGUUUUCUAUGAGCCAUUUUGAAUGUUCAUUGGCAACAUAUUUCAAUGCUUCAGGCUUACCUGCACUAGGAUGGACUUUCGGAUAAAAAAAGUUAUGAAUGUUACUGGGAAACACGUAGGAAUCAGAGUGGAGUACUCAACUGCUGCCUGGUUAAACACGUAGCUAGGAAUAAAGCGUACAUAGCCGAUUCAGCAAAUUAUCUAACCAAACCAUUUGUUUCUAUGUACUUCGGUGUAGCCUAUUUUCUUUGGCUAUCCGACUAUGAAAGACGGGAGAGAAGUAAUUAGUUCAUUGUCCAAGCUUGUAUCAAAGGUCCUGACCACGUUGAUCUUGAGACAUCAUCAUGUCCACUUUGGCUCACGUUUGAGCAAGCACUGAGUUCUAUGAAGAACCGAAGAGGUAUCAACGUUGAUGACCAAACAACUUUGUUUUGGUUUUCAUUUUCUUUCAACUUUGUUUUGGUUUUCAUUUUCUUUCCCUUCUGAUAUUAUUUCAUCACCGAUAUAGAAAGCUGCUUUAUUCUAUGAUACCAUCGUCUAUACGUACAUACACUAUGUCUAAGAAUAAAGGGUUUAGCUUGGA